CACGUAGGGUGCGAGCGUUGUCCGGAAUUAUUGGGCGUAAAGAGCUCGUAGGCGGUGUGUCGCGUCGGCCGUGAAAACCUGCAGCUUAACUGUGGGCUUGCGGUCGAUACGGGCAUCACUGGAGUUCGGCAGGGGAGACUGGAAUUCCUGGUGUAGCGGUGAAAUGCGCAGAUAUCAGGAGGAACACCGGUGGCGAAAGCGGCUUCCUGGUCCGAACACCGACGUUCAGGCACGAAAGCGUGGGGAGCAAACAGG
rnacentral:rRNA from 1 species